rnacentral:rRNA from 1 species
AAAGUCUGACCUGCCCUAUGAAUUUAUUAAAUGGCCGCGAUAAUUUGAUCGUGCAAAGGUAGCAUAAUAAUUAGUUUUUUAAUUGGGAACUGGAAUGAAAGGUCGAACGAGAAAAAAUCUGUCUCAAUUUAAUUUUAUUAGAAUUUUAUUUUUAAGUAAAAAAGCUUAAAUAUAUUUAAAAGACGAGAAGACCCUAUAGAGUUUUAUAUUUAAUUUAUGAUUUUUUAGUUUAAGAAUUUAAUUUUAAAAUUAUUACUUAAGUAUUUGGUUGGGGUGAUUGAAAAAUUAAUUAAACUUUUUUUAAUUUUUACCAUUAAUAUAUGAGUUAGUGAUCCA